GCCUAGGUAGCUCAGUUGGUAGAGCAGAGGACUGAAAAUCCUUGUGUCGGUGGUUCGAUUCCGCCCCUGGGCACCA
rnacentral:tRNA from 1 species